rnacentral:rRNA from 1 species
GCGGCAGGCUUAACACAUGCAAGUCGAACGAAGUCUUCGGACUUAGUGGCAGACGGGUGAGUAACGCGUGGGAACAUGCCCAUCGGUUCGGAAUAACCAAGGGAAACUUUGGCUAAUACCGGAUACGCCCCUUGGGGGAAAGAUUUAUUGCCGAUGGAUUGGCCCGCGUCUGAUUAGCUAGUUGGUGAGGUAAUGGCUCACCAAGGCGACGAUCAGUAGCUGGUCUGAGAGGAUGAUCAGCCACACUGGGACUGAGACACGGCCCAGACUCCUACGGGAGGCAGCAGUGGGGAAUAUUGGACAAUGGGCGCAAGCCUGAUCCAGCCAUGCCGCGUGAGUGAUGAAGGCCUUAGGGUUGUAAAGCUCUUUUAUCCGGGACGAUAAUGACGGUACCGGAAGAAUAAGCCACGGCUAAUUCCGUGCCAGCAGCCGCGGUAAUACGGGAGUGGCAAGCGUUAUCCGGAAUUAUUGGGCGUAAAGCGUCCGCAGGCGGCCUUUUAAGUCUGUUGUUAAAGCGUGGAGCUCAACUCCAUUUCGGCAAUGGAAACUGGAAGGCUGGAGUGUGGUAGGGGCAGAGGGAAUUCCCGGUGUAGCGGUGAUAUGCGUAGAUAUCGGGAAGAACACCAGUGGCGAAGGCGCUCUGCUGGGCCAUAACUGACGCUCAUGGACGAAAGCCAGGGGAGCGAAAGGGAUUAGACACCCCUGUAGUCCUGGCCGUAACGAUGAACACUAGGUGUCGGGGGAAUCGACCCCCUCGGUGUCGUAGCAACGCG